rnacentral:rRNA from 1 species
CAAUAGCGUAUAUUAAAGUUGUUGCAGUUAAAAAGCUCGUAGUUGGAUUUCUGGGAGGGUGCCAAUGUCCGCCGACGUGCGUGCGCAGCGGCGCCCUCUCAUCCUUCUGUUAACGUCUCUCGGCAUUCACUUGCCGGUGGCGGGCUCAGAUAUUUUACCUUGAGAAAAUUAGAGUGUUUCAGGCAGGCUAGGCCGGAAUACAUUAGCAUGGAAUAAUGGAAUAGGACUUCGGUCUCUUUGUUGGUUUGAGGGACUGCAGUAAUGAUUAAUAGGGAUAGUUGGGGGUAUUCAUAUUUAAUUGUCAGAGGUGAAAUUCUUGGAUUUAUGAAAGAUGAACUUAGGCGAAAGCAUUUACCAAGGAUGUUUUCAUUAAUCAAGAACGAAAGUUAGGGGAUCGAAGACGAUCAGAUACCAU